AGAACUGUGCCAUACUAACCUCAAGAAACAUCAGAUUCUGUAGAAAUUACAGAUUACCCUAGGUUUUUUUUUGUAGUAGAAAUUUCCGUCAUAGUUCAGUAUAUCUUUUAUAGAACCAUAUAUAUUACCGGACAAAAAAAAAAUUUGCUCAUUUACCGAUGUCCAUGGCAACUAUAUAAGAUUACGCAAGAAGUCAUUAGCAAUCCAGAGUGUCUGCAAAAAUUGCAAAUUUUUUCCUCCGAGCCUUUUUAGGAACAUUUCUGUGGCUAAGAGCAAGAUCUCUUGAAUGAUCAACUUGAGUUAUGAACAUGGAUUAGUUACUAAAUCCGAAUAUUUCCAGAUUUGUUUAUUUAACUGUUAGUUUCUUUAUCUUGUUGUUUUCGUUUUAUAUUAUCUCGAGGAUUUUACUAAUUCAAAUAUCCGUCUGUUGGCGUUUUUUGAGAAACCCGUAAAUAUCAUGGAAUGUUCCUAUUUUUAGAAAAAUAAGUAUUUCAAUUCCAUUGCAAGGUGGUCUUAAGCGAUCAGGAAAUGCACAUGAUUAAGAAUUAAUCUUACACAAGUGCAGAAAAGCUUUUUAGAUUAUGCACAGAUAACAGUAGUACUUGCAAACCUCUUUGUAAUACGGACACUAAAGAUGCCCUGAAUUGACUCUCCGUUUAAUGGAGGUGACUGUCUUAGAGGGUCGGCAUGGAAGUGCAUGCCUAAGUCACAGCAAUCAGUCAAAAAUUCCAGUUUACUUCUCAACUACCAGUAAAUUUUUCAUAUCUCACAAUCUCAGCUGGCCGUUAAAAGCGCCUUAUUUCUCAUCCAGACCUAACUGUUGUUGAGGUAGAGGUUGCAAGAAUUUUGGCUUAUUAGUCUGGAACCAAUUGAGCUGUCUGGCCGUAAUGUAAAACUGUCCGCAUUGUGAGGUUCGACUGCUGCCGGCAUAUGUGUUAGACUGGACUAAAUUUUUCUUUAACAUUUCGCAGUUACGUAAUCGCAUGGUUAAGUGAUAUCUUACGUUAUGGACGAUCCAAAUAUCAUCAACAUUUAAAAAUAAUAUGUACAUGCCGGUUUUUUAGGUUUUACUGUUAGCCAAAAAUGUUGAAGAAUACUGCUCUCCAAAGGAAAUGUUUUACGCUCGCGUCCCUUGUAGUGGCUUUGAUGUAUUGCUACCUUAGCACCUUCAAUUGUUUACUUUUAGAAUUUACUAAUAUGAUAUUGAGGUCAUUGAACGUCUAGCAACGAAGACAGAAUGUCUUGCAGCACCAAAACAUGGGCAAGAAAACGUACAUGUAUGACAAUUAACAUUAUAUUUAGGAAAACUCAAUUACUUCGAGUUUACGAAGGGCUUGCAUUCAAAUUGUACCCAAAAUGUUACGCCUGUGAUCGCCCGUGAACCAGUUUACAGCUUUUAUUUACAACGUUUUGUAAUUUGUCAAGGCUUUUCUCUUUGUUUAAGUCAAGGUUGCUUGUAACAGUGUAAGCACUUCCUUUUCAGCUGGGACACUCAAAGAACAGGAAGAAAAUUUACUUUCGCAUCGUGUUCAGUAUCCUAUUGUUUGUGUGGAUUGCCAAACAGUCUUCAAAAUGUUCUCAGUCAAGUCCUAGGUCAUUAUCUUUUAUUAUGUCUCGUCUGACCUGAGCUUAAGUUUUUAUUUCAAGUUUUCGACCUUAGAUGUUAGCUUGCAAAUUUUAAUUAUACAACUUACUGUGGGAUAAUCAACUUACGCCCACAAAACUACAUUUUGUCAUUUAGAUGCCUAAAAUAUAACUGCAGCAAAGUUCAAAUUGUCUCUGAACCAACAAUAUGAUUAAGACCCUGGGCAGACACCAUUCAUAAUCUGCAAACCAAAACAUCUUAAUAUUGCAGAGAUUAUUUCACGCUUGGCUCGGUCACUAGUGGUCAAUGAAGAAACUAGCCUGCGGCAAUGCUAAACAUAAGCCAGCAAGGAAAUCAAGUUAUCUUCGGCUUAAUUGAUCACAGUUUCGUUCUAUAAGGGAAACAACAUGAUAGAAACUACAAGCCACGAAAAUCAUAAAUCUGUUUGUUAAAAAUCAUCUACUUUGAAAAGAUGCGCUUCAAUGGAAAAGAUCACGCGCAAUUAUUGUGUACAUGUGCGUGUUCAAAUAGUGUACGUGAGGUCAGGGAUUCCACACGCGUGCAUGGAAAACCAAUAUCAAACAUUUCCUUCAGAAGAUAAUUUCCCAGAAAUUUAUAUUCCUUAAACUCGAGACCACAGGCGGGAGAUUUUGGUGAGUAGUAGGCGUGACAUUUAUGCAUUAAGGCACGGAAACUUUGAUACCCAGUGAUUUUAGCGCAAGUUUUUCAGUACUGACUCAACAUUACCUUGAUUCAGAGAGACUAUGCUAAAGGCGCUAAAAUAUGGCGAUGGUGAAUGUAUCGGUUAGUUGCAUUCCAUUGCAUGGUCAACGAAACAUGCAUUAUAUAACAUUUCCCGCGGAAGCCUCGCCAGCUAGUGUUAAACAAGAUUGCGCUCCACAGAAAAGAGUCCGAGUCGCUAGUCGCGUUGGGCAACAAAUUACACAUCUGUAGGUCUGCGAACCCGUCGUCGUUCUACUUUGAAAUAAACGGAGAACUAAACUGCUCUCGGGUAUCUCAAAUUAGACUAUAUAUUCACUUCAGCUUAAAUUGCUUACUAGGACGUUGAGACUUAUAUAACCAUGAACGUAUAAAAGCAUGAACUGUGACCUGCAUGUCUGCACAAGAUGCCAAUUUUGAUGUCGGAAGAUGUAAAAUCUACCUGUGAAAUUUUCAAAUAAAAGCUACUGAGCAGUUA